rnacentral:rRNA from 1 species
AGCGAACGCUGGCGGCAGGCCUAACACAUGCCAGUCGAACGAACCUUUCGGGGUUAGUGGCGGACGGGUGAGUAACACGUGGGAACGUGCCUUUAGGUUCGGAAUAACUCAGGGAAACUUGUGCUAAUACCGAAUGUGCCCUUCGGGGGAAAGAUUUAUCGCCUUUAGAGCGGCCCGCGUCUGAUUAGCUAGUUGGUUGAGGUAAUGGCUCACCAAGGCGACGAUCAGUAGCUGGUCUGAGAGGAUGAUCAGCCACAUUGGGACUGAGACACGGCCCAAACUCCUACGGUAGGCAGCAGUGGGGAAUCUUGCGCAAUGGGCGAAAGCCUGACGCAGCCAUGCCGCGUGAAUGAUGAAGGUCUUAGGAUUGUAAAAUUCUUUCACCGGGGACGAUAAUGACGGUACCCGGAGAAGAAGCCCCGGCUAACUUCGUG